GAGGUGAACUUAGACAGGGCAUCUUGACUGCUAAAACGAAGUUCUCAGAUAGAAUAGGAGACCAUCUUGAGCAGACAGAUGCCAGGCAGCUGUGGCAAGGAAUUUAACUUCUGACCAACUUUAGAGGCACCCCAUUAUCUGAUUCCUCUCAUGAAGAUAUCUCACUAGCAGAUGAGCUUAACCGUUUCUUUGCCCGUUUUGAUACUCCUACAGCAGGGGUGCCGUCAUCACCUGGCAAAUGCCACAGCACAUCUGUCACCCUGUCCUUCCAGCAACAUCUGGUGAGGCGUGCACUCUCGGGGGCAGGCACGUGCAGAGGGGGGGGCGGAGGGUGCUUGAGACCCUGCCCCUUUUCUCCCAUGUGCCCAAAGUGCCCUUUUUGAGGUUUAAUGAUUUUUUUAUAUAUAUUUAUUUUUAUUUUUUUUAAAGAAUUUUCUGUUUGUGCCCCCUCAAGAAUAACAAAGAUAAUCAUUAAUAAAAUUUCUGUUUAAUGUUAUAUGGCUGGCGUGAGUCAGACCAUACGUCACGUGACCAUUCCGUCUCUUCCUCACGCCAGAGCGCACAGCCGGUCACAACAAGCUGCAAGCAAGCACCCACAUUUUCUUCAUGGCCGAGCGAGUGGUGCAAAGCUUUUAGGACAUACAUAUUGAUUGGGAGAAACGGACUAACACCGACAUGCUUCGUAAGGACAGGAGGAGGAAGCAGCGACAGAAAGAGCUACAUGAGGCAGCUAAAGGCAGUGGGUCCCUCACCAGCUGGAUAAAAAAAAAGAGUACAGGUAAGUUGCAUCACAGCAACAAGUGUAGAAACAAUAAUAUACACAACUGCAAUGUUUUGAUGCCAGAAAAUGUUUUUUGUUAGCCUCUUGAUCAUGGAUUAGGUGCAAGACCUGUUAAAUGUGAAUAACUACAUAAUUCAUUCAUACAAUAGCUAAUUUUGCCUUGUUCUCAGAUGGACAGCAAGUGGAGAGUGAUAGAUCACACGAGGAGACUGAAGACACACACAACUCUUUCUGUUUAUAUUUCUGUCACAUUCUUAUCUCUGACAUAAACUCCUCUAUUAUCCACUAAUAUUUAGAUUUCCAUUUAUUUACCACAGGUGUUGUCUCAGAUAUUUCUGUCUUACACUUCUAAGAGUUUUCACCAAUUUUUGCCAUUUUUUUAUGAUCUUACAUAAAUUUUGUAAUUGACUAACAUUUCUCCUCUGUUCGUUUUACUACCUACAGUCUGAGAUCAACACAGCCUUGCCCUCCAGCAUCAUCAGCAGCAGCAAGAGGAGCAACCCUGCAACAGCUACACUGUACCCCAUCAUCAGGUAAAAUAGGACAGCAAUAGAUCAGGAGGUGGAGCAGGUUGUCCAGUAAUAAGAAGGUUGCAGGUUUGAGCCUGACUUCAAUCAGAGAUUGAUGCUGUUGAGUCCUUGGGCAAGACACUUAACCUGCUUUGCCUGCUGGUGGGGGUCGGAGGGACCGGUGGCGCCUGUGCUCAGCAGCUUCACCUCUGUCAGUGCGCUCCAGAGCAGCUAUGGCUACAUCAUAGCUCAUCACCAUCAGUGUGUUAAUGUGUGUGUGUGAAUGACUGAUUGUGUUGUAAUGUGCCUUGGGGGGCUGUAGAACCCUAAGAAGGCAUUAUACAAAUACAGACCAUUUACCUAAACAAGUUACUUUUGCUUUACAUUGUCCUUAUGGUGUAUAUAAUGAUUCGCUUCCAUUUUGAAUUUCUAAUAAAUAUGAUUUGUUAUUCAGCU